rnacentral:piRNA from 1 species
UACCAUGGUGGAAGCUAUGAUCUGCGCUA